rnacentral:rRNA from 1 species
UACCGAGUGAGGGCCCGCCGGGUCCAACCUCCCACCCGUGUCUAUCGUACCUUGUUGCUUCGGCAGGCCCGCCCUCGCGGCCGCCGGGGGGCGCUUGCGCCCCCGGGUCCGCGCCUGCCGGAGACACAUCUCGAACGCUGUCUGAAGUUUGCAGUCUGAGCGAAAUAGCGAAAUUUUGAAAAAUUGUUAUCAACGGAUCUCUUGGUUCCGGCAUCGAUGAAGAACGCAGCGAAAUGCGAUAAGUAAUGUGAAUUGCAGAAUUCAGUGAAUCAUCGAGUCUUUGAACGCACAUUGCGCCCCCUGGUAUUCCGGGGGGCAUGCCUGUCCGAGCGUCAUUGCUGCCCUCAAGCCCGGCUUGUGUGUUGGGCCCCGCCCCCCUGUACGGGGGGCGGGCCCGAAAGGCAGCGGCGGCACCGCGUCCGGUCCUCGAGCGUAUGGGGCUCUGUCACCCGCUCUGCAGGCCCGGCCGGCGCCCGCCGACCCCCAACCAUAUUUUUUUCAGGUUGACCUCGGAUCAGGUAGGGAUACCCGCUGAACUUAAGCAUAUCAAUAAGCGGAGGAAAAGAAACCAACAGGGAUUGCCUCAGUAACGGCGAGUGAAGCGGCAAGAGCUCAAAUUUGAAAGCUGGCCCCCUCGGGGCCCGCAUUGUAAUUUGCAGAGGAUGCUUCGGGAGCGCCCAUCUAAGUGCUGGAACGGGCCGUCAUAGAGGGUGAGAAUCCCGUCUGGGAUGGGGUGCUCGCGCCCGUGUGAAGCUCCUUCGACGAGUCGAGUUGUUUGGGAAUGCAGCUCUAAAUGGGUGGUAAAUUUCAUCUAAAGCUAAAUAUUG